GGCCUGAUGGUCUAGGGGUAUGAUUCUCGCUUUGGGUGCGAGAGGUCCCGGGUUGAAAUCCCGGUCAGGCCC
rnacentral:tRNA from 1 species